GAAAGUGUGUCCAAACUUUUGACUGGUAAAGUUGCUUGUUUGCAUUUAUUGUGUGCCCCCCCCCUCAUAAGUUGGAGGUUGAGCUUCUAGUCUUUCCAUUUGUCUAGAAGGAAACUCUUUCACUGAUGUCUGCGAGAAUACCAAAGUGCCGAUAUAUAAAUCAUGUGCAGCGAGGCGGACUGGUCCUUUUUUCCUGUGAAGUUUGGAUCCUCCUCCUACGUGCUGCGAAACAACUGUCGGGAAGGACGUAAAGCUGGGAGGAAGCAAGCGGGAAGCACAGAGCAUAAGCGGUGGCGUCUGGUAUGCAGGCUGAUUUCUCCCUUCACUGGCUGCACAGAAGAGGAGGAGGAGGAGGAGGAAGAAUUUGUGUAGUCCUGCUGUGGCGCCAUCCCGCCUGAAGCGAAGGCCCGAGUCCCCGAGUAAGAGACCUGGGAGACGGCGACUUCUUCCCGGCUGAUCCGUCAACUCGUCCCCUGCGUGAGACCUUCCCACGUAGCCACUAGCCUGAGCUGCACUGGUUGCCAUGUUCACUGCGGGGACCUCACACUCUCCGUCUAACGUGCCGAUACUAUGUGCGCUGGGAUUUCCAAACUUUUCCACCUCCUGGGGGCAAAGCUGCUGCAGUGAGUGUAAGAAGCCUGCUGUUACUGACGCACUACGUAAUGUAAAAUGUGCAUCGUCUCACUGCAAGAUUACAAGUUGCGAGUUGAGGGCUUGUUAGUGUCGCUGACUGACGUGUUGCUUUACAGUGAAGUGCAAAAUGCCGAUUCCUCAUUAUCUGGACGGAAUUAGACCUUUGCUUUGCCAGGCGGGUGGAGAAGGACAUUGAGGAAGUGUAUGAUUUUGUGCACAGAAACGAUCUUUCGGUCGGCAUUUUUAGCAUUUGGACUCGGGCUUCCCACAAUCUUGGCAAGUUGAAUCUGUGUCAUCCUCCUACACUUAAAAUACACGCUCGCAAGAGCAAAUGUGGCCCUUCGUGGCCGAAGGAACUUUUGUUUCAAGAUCUUAUUUGAUGCUAUAACUUUUUUGUUUUGUGUAUAUUGUGUCUCAGGGUUUGUUUUGUUUUUUUGUGUAUUCAUUCAAAGUAGAGUUCCUUCUGCUAACUUCUUUUCUUUUGAAUGUACCAUUUUGUGCUAAACCGUUUAACAUGGAUCUGUUAUUUUAGAUGAUUGUUUUGUCAAGUGUAAAAGUAUCUGUACGUUUAAUGGCAUCGGUUGUAUUUAUACAUAUGUAAUAUUGCCAAAACCCAAAUGGCUAAUCUUGGCCAUGAUGGAUUUAAAUAACAAACUGUGUCCAAAGUAGUAAGAAGUUCUCGCUAUAUCAUUUUUUUAUUGUAUAUUUCAGGAUUGUUAACAGAAGUCUUUUUUGUUAAUAGUUUGUAUUUGCUUUGUAACACAUUUGUAGACGCCUUUGAUUUGCACAUUUUGUACGAACGAAAACUCUUAAUGGUCUUAAUUUUGUACCUUUUGUCUUAACCCAGCCGGGGUAGUGUGAAUAAUCAGUGCAGCAAAUGAUCAAUUUGUUCCUCUUUGAACAAUCCUCAUUUGCCCUGCAGCUUUCCAAUAUAUCAAAUACACUGUUAUAUUAAGCUAUUACUGAUAAACCAUGUUCUACAGUUCAC
ensembl:lncRNA